UACGAAGGGGGCUAGCGUUGUUCGGAAUUACUGGGCGUAAAGCGCGCGUAGGCGGACCUGCAAGUCGGGGGUGAAAGCCCGAGGCUCAACCUCGGAACUGCCUUCGAUACUGCGGGUCUUGAGUCCGGGAGAGGUGAGUGGAAUUCCUAGUGUAGAGGUGAAAUUCGUAGAUAUUAGGAAGAACACCAGUGGCGAAGGCGGCUCACUGGCCCGGUACUGACGCUGAGGCGCGAAAGCGUGGGGAGCAAACAGG
rnacentral:rRNA from 1 species